rnacentral:rRNA from 1 species
UACGUAGGGGGCAAGCGUUGUCCGGAAUUAUUGGGCGUAAAGCGCACGUAGGCGGCUUUCUAAGUCAGGGGUGAAAUCCUGGAGCUCAACUCCAGAACUGCCUUUGAUACUGGAGAGCUUGAGUCCGGAAGAGGUGAGUGGAACUCCGAGUGUAGAGGUGAAAUUCGUAGAUAUUCGGAAGAACACCAGUGGCGAAGGCGGCUCACUGGUCCGGUACUGACGCUGAUGUGCGAAAGCGUGGGGAGCAAACAGGG